UGAGUUAUUAUGAAGUAGUUAGAAUAUGUAGUGUAGCGGUGAAAUGCAUAGAUAUUACAUAGAAUACCAAUUGCGAAGGCAGAUUACUAAUAAUCAACUGACACUGAUGGACGAAAGCGUGGGUAGCGAACAGGAUUAGAUACCCUGGUAGUCCACGCCGUAAACGAUGGUUACUAGCUGUUUGGACCUUGUGUCUGAGUGGCUAAGCGAAAGUGAUAAGUAACCCACCUGGGGAGUACGUUCGCAAGAAUGAAACUCAAAGGAAUUGACGGGGGCCCGCACAAGCGGUGGAGCAUGUGGUUUAAUUCGAUGAUACGCGAGGAACCUUACCAGGGCUUAAAUGUAAGUUGCAUUAGUUAGAGAUAGCUAUUUCUUCGGACCACUUACAAGGUGCUGCAUGGUUGUCGUCAGCUCGUGCCGUGAGGUGUCAGGUUAAGUCCUAUAACGAGCGCAACCCCUGUUGUUAGUUGCCAGCGAUUCAAGUCGGGAACUCUAACAAGACUGCCAGUGCAAACUGUGAGGAAGGUGGGGAUGACGUCAAAUCAUCACGGCCCUUACGUCCUGGGCUACACACGUGCUACAAUGGUAGGGACAGAGAGCAGCCACUACGCGAGUAGGAGCGAAUCUAUAAACCCUAUCACAGUUCGGAUCGGAGUCUGCAACUCGACU
rnacentral:rRNA from 1 species